GAUCAUGGCUCAGGAUGAACGCUGGCGGCGUGCUUAACACAUGCAAGUCGAACGGAGUUUUAACGGAAGUUUCGGAUGGAAGUUUAGAAACUUAGUGGCGGACGGGUGAGUAACGCGUGGGUAACCUGCCUCAUACAGGGGGAUAACAGUUAGAAAUGACUGCUAACACCGCAUAAUAUAGCGAAACCGCAUGAUUUUGCUAUCAAAUAUUUAUAGGUAUGAGAUGGGCCCGCGUCUGAUUAGCUAGUUGGUGGGGUAAAAGCCUACCAAGGCGACGAUCAGUAGCCGGCUUGAGAGAGUGACCGGCCACAUUGGGACUGAGACACGGCCCAAACUCCUACGGGAGGCAGCAGUGGGGAAUAUUGGACAAUGGGGGAAACCCUGAUCCAGCGACGCCCGCGUGAGUGAAGAAGUAUUUCGGUAUGUAAAGCUCUAUCAGCAGGGAAGAUAAUGACAGUACCUGACUAAGAAGCCCCGGCUAACUACGUGCCAGCAGCUGC
rnacentral:rRNA from 1 species